UUUUCAAUGUUUCUUCCAUUGAACCUGGUUUCAGUGUUGACUCUAGGCCUUGAUAGUAUGCAAGGUUUUCAGGAUUCCUAUUCAGCAAUUCUCUGUAGAUUU